UGGCUAGUAGCUCAAUGGCAGAGCGGGAAGCUGUUAACUUCUAGGUUGUAGGUUCGAAUCCUACCUAGUCAGCCA
rnacentral:tRNA from 1 species